UACGUAGGGUGCAAGCGUUGUCCGGAAUUAUUGGGCGUAAAGAGCUCGUAGGCGGUCUGUCGCGUCGGCUGUGAAAACUCGGGGCUCAACCCCGAGCCUGCAGUCGAUACGGGCAGACUAGAGUGCGGUAGGGGAGACUGGAAUUCCUGGUGUAGCGGUGAAAUGCGCAGAUAUCAGGAGGAACACCGAUGGCGAAGGCAGGUCUCUGGGCAUUAACUGACGCUGAGGAGCGAAAGCAUGGGGAGCGAACAGG
rnacentral:rRNA from 1 species